UUAAUAUCGAACUUCGAACUUAUAAGGUGUUAAGCUGCAAUUACAAUAAAAGUGCUUGCUAUGGAAUCACCGGUGCUGAAAGAAAGAAAGAAAAAAUAUUUAUUUGGUUAUGCCGUGACAUAAAUGCAUUAAAUUAGGAAGAUUUGUAUUGGAUGAAUUACCCAGAUAACAAUUAAAACAACUUCUGUUGAUAAGAACAUUUGAUUGGUGGAAUCCAGAUUCUGUGAAUGUACAUGUAAUUGAUUGAAAAAUGCACAUUUGACAAGGUGGUGAGAAACGUGUAGGUCUGGCCUGCUUACAGUGGCUAUUGGAUUGGACAGAACCAAAGUGAGAGUGAAUGUGUGAAUUUAUGGAGAACAUUAAACUAUUUUACUAUAAGUCAUAACGCAACUUAUUUUGUAUGAGUUACAUACAAAUGUCAAGCCGUGAGUACCUACAUUAUGUAAAAACUAAAACAAUGUACUGUAAUCACAAUAGUAACUGUAAUCUUUUAAAAUAAAAUAGUUUUAAUGCUUAUUGAUUUUCGUAAACAAAAUAUU